GCACUCAUAUUUUUGUUUUUCUUCCAACAAGUUAUUAGCAUCUCCUUAGACCUCAUUAGUAAAAUAAUGGAGAAAAAAUGGCACUUUGUAGCCUGUGAGCUUUGACUUGCCGUUUGAUGUGUAUGUAGUACAUGCAUCGAACAAAUGAUAACUUGGUUUUGGGUUAACUUUCUGAAAUGGCAUGCUUGAAUGCCAUAUGUGUAAAAAGAUCUACUUUUGUACUGAUUGGACCAUUUGCUUUGCGUCUACAAUUUCAACUGCAGGAGAUCUGACAAAUGCAGCACUGUGCAAAGAUCUUGAAUCAUCCCUUAUUUCCUUACAUUUUCCUGGGAAAACGGGUGCAGCAUUUUACUGAAAUGUGCAAACCUGAACACUCUCAGGCAGCUCUCUUGCCAUUUCUUCAAGUAGUCUUCAGGGAUAGUUCUUCAGGCUUUUCAGAGGACCUCAAAAGCCCCCAGGUAGACCUUCCGUGGUUUAGAUGGCUAUAGACACUGUUUAAUUAAUCACACUACAAGACCUGUUGCCACUAUUUUAUUCUGCUGGAACCAAAAUGGUGGCAGCAGGCUUAGGAAGUCUCAGUAUGUAUAUCAACCUUUAUUCCGAAUCUGGCCAUCUGGAUCUAUAUCUGUAUUACACACCAGUUUGUUCAGAUUUUAAAGACUGAGUAUUACUCCUGCGCUUCACCAGUUUGGCAUCCUACUAGACCUCUGUAGUUAUUUAAAAAGGUGCAGAAAAUGACUAUUGAAUGAAGAUUUACAGGCACCAUAUUUUCUGUAAAAAA